CCUACGGGUGGCUGCAGUGGGGAAUAUUGGACAAUGGGGGCAACCCUGAUCCAGCCAUGCCGCGUGUGUGAAGAAGGCCCUCGGGUUGUAAAGCACUUUCAGUGAGGAAGAACGCCUGGUGGUUAAUACCCAUCAGGAAAGACAUCACUCACAGAAGAAGCACCGGCUAACUCCGUGCCAGCAGCCGCGGUAAUACGGAGGGUGCGAGCGUUAAUCGGAAUUACUGGGCGUAAAGCGCGCGUAGGUGGCUUGAUAAGCCGGUUGUGAAAGCCCCGGGCUCAACCUGGGAACGGCAUCCGGAACUGUCAAGCUAGAGUGCGAGAGAGGAAGGUAGAAUUCCCGGUGUAGCGGUGAAAUGCGUAGAGAUCGGGAGGAAUACCAGUGGCGAAGGCGGCCUUCUGGACUGACACUGACACUGAGGUGCGAAAGCGUGGGUAGCAAACAGGAUUAGAUACCCCAGUAGUC
rnacentral:rRNA from 1 species